rnacentral:snoRNA from 10 species
AGGACUGUGCUUUCAGAGUUCAUGUCCACAGCUCAUUGCGGGGGCAGUUUCUCUGAUCGUGUGGAGCUGGAUGCCAGGAGCAGGACACACUGUGUUCUUUCCUGAGCAUGAAGCCAGCUCUCGGAGUUGUUUUGUUGCACCUGCCAUUAGGCGUUGAUGAUGUUCUUUCUUUCCUCCGGUAGGGUAAGAAGGAGAGGACGCAGUCCAAGUGG